rnacentral:tRNA from 1 species
UGCUGGUGUCGUUCGGCGACGUGCUGACGCUCUGUCGCGGCGUCCCCGAGCUGCGGCCGGGCUACGGGGCGUUGUGCGAGGCAACGGCCCGCUU